rnacentral:lncRNA from 13 species
UUUUGAUUAAUAAUUUUAUCUUCUUAUUUAUUAUUUCUUUGUUCAGGCUUUCAAUUUAUUCUUGAUUCAGUUUUAGGAUGUUUUACAUUUCUAGAAAUUUAUCCAUCCAUUCUAUCUUAUCCAAUUGUUUGAGAUAAAAUUGUUCCCAAUAGCCCCUUCUGAUCUUUAUUAUAUUUGAGGCAUCUGUUGUAAUGUAUUCUCUUUCAUUUGUUUUUAUUUCCUUGUGCUUUCUUUCUUUGAUUAUUAAUCUAAUUAAGAAUGUCAGGAGAGGAUCCAAGAUGGCUGAAUAGGACCAGUUCCGGAGUGCAGUUCCCAGCAAGAACGACGGCAGAAGGUGGUUAUUGCUAUAAACAUCCUUCCUAGGAUCACUUUUGCUGUGCCUCAUAUAUUUUGGCUCAUAGGCAGAAGGAACUUGACUUAUCUCAGAUGAGACUUUGGACUAUGGACAUUUAAGUUAAUGACAGAAUGAGAGCACACACUUUUGUUGUGGUAAAGAUUCCCUGGAACUGCAUCAAAACCAGUCACCUUCUACACUGCACCAUGUUCAAGAUCUCACUGUGGUUCAACUUCUCAGACUCCUGUUCUCCUUGAUGUAAUUCUA